rnacentral:rRNA from 1 species
UACGUAGGGUGCGAGCGUUGUCCGGAAUUAUUGGGCGUAAAGGGCUCGUAGGCGGUUUGUCACGUCAGGAGUGAAAACUCGGGGCUCAACCCCGAGCCUGCUUCUGAUACGGGCAGACUGGAGGUAUGCAGGGGAGAACGGAAUUCCUGGUGUAGCGGUGAAAUGCGCAGAUAUCAGGAGGAACACCGGUGGCGAAGGCGGGUCUCUGGGCCGAUAUUGACGCUGAGGAGCGAAAGCAUGGGGAGCGAACAGG